GGGGGCGACUGGUUUCGACAUGGUCAUUCUGAGGGGGGCAGCAAGCCGAGGUCUCCUCACCUCGCAAAACAGGGGUACUUGUCAAAAUAAAUGACAAUCGUUCUAGCUACGCCCUCGCUGCUUAAUUAGUCAGCGACGUCAAUCCGGGGUUUAUCCCCGACUCCGGUGCGACGCCAUUUUAGGGGAUUGCUCGUGGGAUCGUAGUCUGUAUAGCCCACGCUAAGACCGAACGGACUGGACUCAAGGCUGCCUGACGCCGUGCGGCUGCGAGUCGAGACUUAAACGGAAUCUGAGCUUGGAGAUACCGCCCAGGGUUUGGCCAUGGACCGGAGUUCGAUUCUCCGCGCCUCCACCA
rnacentral:tmRNA from 1 species